AGAGGCAAACGAAAGCAGACCAAAGUCUAGGGGGAAAUAGCAAGCACAACAUGGUCAAAAGCACACCAGAGAGACCUAGGCCUGAAGUCACAGCCUGAAGCAGCACAGAAGCAGAAACAUGGUGGAUUGGAAAGGCCUGGCCAGGUCCUGCAGAAGGCUGAGCCACUGGAGAAACCUUUGGGACUGUGCUAGGGGGCAAAGCUCACCAUCAUAGACAAGGGCUGACUUGAGACGCCUGCAAACACAGAAGUUCAAAAGGAACAUUUCCCCGGAGCAACAACAGACCUAAAAGGAUCCAGGCUUCUGAACUGUGCCUGUGGCUGUGACAGCAGGCGUCUUGCGCUCCCUGCAAACUGGGUCAAUAUACUGUGUGGUUUACUAUGCUGCUCCCCGUGUAGAACAAGGCUGACACAGCUGCAUCAGAACAUCGCACUAAGUCCUAAGGAGAGCUUCACUGGAAAUGCAUGACUCCCCUCUUCUACCUGCCAUAAAAUGAUUCGAAAUCAUCUCUGACUUCACCUCUCAUUUAGUCUCUCACUGUGCCUCCCUAAUCGCAUGUAAAUGAAACCCCAAAAGUACAGAAACAGAAAAGAAAUCCACGGCCCUAAUCAGAUACACCGGGCAGUUCCCCCAGUGUCCUGGCAGAAUGGCUGAGGCAGGGGGCUGUUCCACUGAGCAUUCUUCAUGGCCUAGGCUGGGGCAGAAUCAUAAAGCUUGUUCUGUCACAGAAAAGGCCAAAUCCUCCCACUGUACCACUGGACAGAUGAUAUCUCCAUUGCUCAUCCCUCCACCUCUGACUCCAGCUUCUCUACAGCCCCAAACAUACCACGCACAGCCCUCCACAAGACACCCCCUGCCUGGUGUCACCCCCAUAGUUCCCAUCUCCCACCCACCUUAUCAUCUGUCUGUUUCCCACUAGAAAGCCAGCACCAAAGGCAAAGGAAUCUGUUGUAGUCUCCAAAUACUUCUCAUAGGUUCACCUCAUUUAACCUCAUCUCUGCCGCUCCCCACAGCGCAGCUCCGUAAGGACCCCACUAAGAAGGUCCAGACCCCAGGUCCAGGGUCUGCUCUGUACGAGCUGAACUCAAAGCGACGUCUCCCUGAGGUGGUAUCAGGCUGAGACCUUGCAUCAUCUGAAGUACCUCUAACAACCAGCUAGGAGAAUAAUAUUCCUAAUUAAAUCAUCGUGAAAAUAUUAAUGAAAAAGAAUUCAAAAAUGAUGAAAUUAAAAACGAACCCCAGGUCAGGCAUGGUGGUGUACGCCAUUAAUCCCAGCUUGUGGAUGUGGGACACAGAGACAAGGAGAUCUCAGAGUUCAAGGCCAGCCUAGUCUACAGAGCAAGUUCCAGGGCAGCCAGGGCUAAACAGAGAAACACUACCUCAAAAUAAAAUAAACCAGUUCUACAUGCUGACACUCACAUCUAUUCGCUACUUCAGAGGCUUUAUUACUCCCUACAACUGUACUAGCUCUAUCGGCCACUCUACAAAGACAGGUGUGGACCCACCUCUUGGAGGCUGAAGUAAAUCGCUUUGAGUUCAUAGCCCCCAUGGGCUACACAGUGGAUAACCAUGCUAGCUAGCCAAGGCUGCACAGGAAGUCCCUGUUUCAAACAAAGCAGCCUAGCUGUGAGUAGUAAUGCUCACCUAGCUCUAGCCCUUGGCAGAGAGAGAGAGAAAGAUUGAAAGUGCAGGGCCAUGCUUAGCUAAACAGUCAAUCUGGGCUGCCCGGAUUGGUCUCAAAACCCAGCCAACCUGGGGCGGGGCCUGGUGCUGCCCACAUUUAAUUCUGGCACUCAGGAAGCAGAGGCGGGCGGAUCUCCGUGAAUUCAACAUCUACAAAAACCACAACAAGAGCCAAACAAAUGAAAAGAAAAGAAAACCAAUAAUAAAAUAGAACCCCAGGAAAACAGACACGAACAGCAGCAGCAGGGUGGACAGGGCUUGGUGUAAGCGGCCAGGAUGGCUCCUCACAGAGGAAGGCAGGAGAAGAGAGUGGCUGUGAAGAGGCAGAAGUUGGCAGAUUCACUGAGACCAGUACGUCCCUUUCUCAGGCAGAGGCCAAGCAGCCCCUCCCCUGUGGAAAGGACAAAGGGCACUAGAGAGGCUAUAGGAUCAGCCCACGAAGGCAAGGGGACAAUAAGUUCAUGGCUGAGUCCCACCUGGCACACUGAAGUAGAACUUGGGUGACAAGACAUCUCAGACAACUGCUUGCUGUCACCAGAAAUGAAAAACAUCUACCUGCUCCUUCAGUUAUUAAACCAAGACCCAGGCCACUCAGAAGACAGCCAUGGUCACCAGCUAGCAAGCUCUCCUACACACAGGUAGACUCUGACCCUGAGGAGCUCAGAAGUCCAGAAUAUGGGGGCAGGGACCUUCCAAGGCAAGAUGCAACGACAGCCCGGAGCAGAGAGUUCACCGUUUCACAUUAGCUGGGGCCCAGCAGAAUGCAUAACUAGCAGCCAUGGAGACAUCACCUCACACAGAAUCUCUAUAGAUUCUUCCUACCUACCCCAGCUCCUGCUGCCAUUCCUCCCAGCCUGACUAGGUCUGUGCCAUCAACUACUCUAGUCUGAGUAUGCCAAUGAACUCUCCCUGGUUCACUCCAAGGGUACUAAGAGUACGCUGGGGCUAGAGAGUAGAAACAAACCUCCCUCCUACCUGUGGACAGGACCCAGGAACACUGCUUAGAUGGUGCAAAGCCAACUUCACUGCCUGUCAUACACAGAGCAGGUAAUCAGCCCAGUGUUCUGUACCUCUGUGUUUCCAAAGGAAAACAGGAUAUCAUCUAUGAUAUCUAUAACAAGACAGAAGUCACAACGACGAAGAAGUACCCAUUUUGAACAAAGCAUUCAGAAUGACAGCUGCUUUAUGUUUCAUGUGAAAGGCUGCCGGUGACAGAGAGUCUAGCCAUGCUGGCCUGUAAGCCUGCUAUCUCGUGUC